rnacentral:rRNA from 1 species
GUGAGGAAUAUUGGACAAUGGGCGCAAGCCUGAUCCAGCCAUGCCGCGUGCAGGAAGACGCAUCUAUGGUGUGUAAACUGCUUUUGUACGGGAAGAAACACUCCCUCGUGAGGGAGCUUGACGGUACCGUAAGAAUAAGGAUCGGCUAACUCCGUGCCAGCAGCCGCGGUAAUACGGAGGAUCCAAGCGUUAUCCGGAAUCAUUGGGUUUAAAGGGUCCGUAGGCGGUUUACUAAGUCAGUGGUGAAAGCCCAUCGCUCAACGAUGGAACGGCCAUUGAUACUGUUAGACUUGAAUUACAAGGAAGUAACUAUAAUAUGUAGUGUAGCGGUGAAAUGCUUAGAUAUUACAUGGAAUACCAAUUGCGAAGGCAGGUUACUACUUGUGGAUUGACGCUGAUGGACGAAAGCGUGGGGAGCGAACAGGAUUAGAAACCCGUGUAGUCC